CGCGUAGGCGGGUUUUCAAGUCUGUGGUGAAAUCCUCCAGCUUAACUGGAGAAGUGCCGUGGAUACUGGAGACCUCGAGGAGGGUAGGGGCAUCUGGAACAGCCGGUGGAGCGGUGAAAUGCGUUGAUAUCGGCUGGAACUCCGAUGGCGAAGGCAAGGUGCUGGACCCUCUCUGACGCUGAGGCGCGGAAAGCCAGGGGAGCGAACG
rnacentral:rRNA from 1 species